AACGAACGCUGGCGGCAGGCCUAACACAUGCAAGUCGAGCGAAGCCUUCGGGCUUAGCGGCGGACGGGUGAGUAACGCGUGGGAACGUGCCCUUUGGUACGGAAUAGCCCCGGGAAACUGGGAGUAAUACCGUAUUUGGUCGAGAGACGAAAGAUUUAUCGCCAAAGGAUCGGCCCGCGUUGGAUUAGGUGGUUGGUGGGGUAAUGGCCUACCAAGCCGACGAUCCAUAGCUGGUUUGAGAGGAUGAUCAGCCACACUGGGACUGAGACACGGCCCAGACUCCUACGGGAGGCAGCAGUGGGGAAUCUUAGACAAUGGGGGAAACCCUGAUCUAGCCAUGCCGCGUGAUCGAUGAAGGCCUUAGGGUUGUAAAGAUCUUUCAGUGGGGAAGAUAAUGACUGUACCCACAGAAGAAGCCCCGGCUAACUCCGUGCCAGCCGCCGCGGUAAGAC
rnacentral:rRNA from 1 species